GAUGAACGCUGGCGGCGUGCUUAACACAUGCAAGUCGAACGGUGAAGGCGGAGCUUUCUCUGCUGGAUCAGUGGCGAACGGGUGAGUAACACGUGAGCAAUCUGCCCCUGACUCUGGGAUAAGCGCUGGAAACGGCGUCUAAUACUGGAUACGAGCUGCGAAGGCAUCUUCAGCAGCUGGAAAGAAGUUCGGUCAGGGAUGAGCUCGCGGCCUAUCAGCUUGUUGGUGAGGUAAUGGCUCACCAAGGCGUCGACGGAUAGCCGGCCUGAGAGGGUGACCAGCCACACUGGGACUGAGACACGGCCCAGACUCCUACGGGAGGCAGCAGUGGGGAAUAUUGCACAAUGGGCGCAAGCCUGAUGCAGCAACGCCGCGUGAGGGACGACGGCCUUCGGGUUGUAAACCUCUUUUAGCAGGGAAGAAGCGAAAGUGACGGUACCUGCAGAAAAAGCGCCGGCUAACUACGUG
rnacentral:rRNA from 1 species